rnacentral:rRNA from 1 species
UACGUAGGGUGCGAGCGUUGUCCGGAAUUAUUGGGCGUAAAGGGCUCGUAGGCGGCUUGUCGCGUCGACUGUGAAAUCCCGCGGCUCAACUGCGGGUCUGCAGCCGAUACGGGCAGGCUAGAGUUCGGUAGGGGAGACUGGAAUUCCUGGUGUAGCGGUGAAAUGCGCAGAUAUCAGGAGGAACACCGGUGGCGAAGGCGGGUCUCUGGGCCGAUACUGACGCUGAGGAGCGAAAGCGUGGGGAGCGAACAGG